GGACCGGUAGCUCAGUGGUAGAGUGUGAGAUUGCAACCUUCACGGGUCCACCCGUGGCAAAAUAUCUCCAGGUCGCGAUUUCGAUUAUCGCCCGGUCCU